CCCCGGGGAGGCUCUCGUCCUCCUCGGCACUGGCACUGAGCGCGGGGCAGUGCUGCAGACGCACCCGCCUGGCACGGGGCCCCGCAGGUGGC